GUGACGUCAUCGCCGCGUGCGGCAGCAAUGGCGGCGGUGGCGGCUGGAGUGGCCCCGGUUCGGGAGCGGUUUGUCACCUCCAAGGAGCAGUUCCAUGCCUACCUGAGGGCCAACGGGGAGCUCGGAGACCAGGGAGGUGAUAAGGAGGAGGAGAAGGAGGACAGUAAUGAGCAGAGCGAGCCCCCUGCCAAGAGAGGGAGGUUGGAGCAGGACCAGGAUGGAGAAAGCCCAGGGAAGCCCGAGGAUGGGGAGAAGGAGCCCGAGGAUGGGGAGAAGGAGCCUGAGAAUGGGGAGAAGGAGCCUGAGAAUGGGGAGAAGGAGCCUGAGAAUGGAGAGAAGGAGCCUGUGGGGCGCAAACGAGCCCGAGGACAGAACAAGAGCAGACCCUGCAUGAAGCCCAACCAUUAUGAGAAGAGCCGGUUGUGUCCAUCAGUCACACAGGGCUGUGCGGAGAAGUGCUACUUUGGCCCACGGUGCCGCUUCCUUCAUGACGUCGGGGAGUACAUGGCAGCAAAACCAUCCGACCUGGGGCAGAGCUGUGUGCUCUUUGAAACCUUUGGCAAGUGUCCUUAUGGCGUCACGUGCCGCUUUGCCAAGGCCCACCUUGGGGAUGGCUACCAGAACUUGGUCAACACGGAGCUGGUCAAGCAGUGGGAAGGGAAAUCGCUGGUGAGGAACAACCUCUCCAAAGACCUCCAGCACCAGCUACGCAAGAAGAAAUUUAUCUUUAAGAAAGCUGAUGAGUACCUCCGCAGCCUGGCCAAGCCCCACCACAAUGAUAGGAGGGGAGGCAAAGCUCCGGGGCACUCUGCAGAGGGUGAGGAUAUGUCCAACUGCACAAUGCCUGAGGAUGGCCUGGGAGACACCUCAGAAUGUCCUGUGCUACCAGAGGGAGGAGAUCCCAAAUCAGCUCCUGUGCAGAGUCCUCACCCCACAGAAAGUGAGGGGGGAUGCCCCACCAAAACAGCAGGCCCAGUGACAGAUGAAGACAUUGUAAAGCUGAGGUCAUGUGAGAAGAAGAAGUUGGAAAUCCAAGGCAAGCUCUACUUGGCCCCACUGACCACAUGUGGCAACCUCCCUUUCAGAAGGAUAUGCAAACGCUUUGGGGCAGAUGUCACCUGUGGAGAGAUGGCUGUGUGCACUAACCUGCUUCAAGGCCAGUCCUCUGAGUGGGCUCUCCUCAAACGGCAUCACACCGAGGACAUUUUUGGGGUGCAGCUGGAGGGAGCGUUUCCAGACACAAUGACCAAAUGUGCAGAGCUCCUGAACCAAACAAUUGACGUGGACUUUGUAGACAUCAAUGUUGGCUGUCCUAUCGACCUGGUCUACAAGAAGGGCGGAGGCUGCGCUCUGAUGACUCGGUCUAACAAGUUUGAACAGAUUGUCCGAGGGAUGAACUCAGUGCUGGACGUCCCACUGACUGUGAAGAUACGGACAGGGGUGCAAGAAAAGAUGAAUGUGGCCCAUAAAAUAAUCCCCAAGAUCCGGGAGUGGGGAGCAUCCAUGGUCACGCUGCACGGCCGGUCCAGAGAACAGCGAUACACAAGAGUUGCUGACUGGGACUACAUAGCAGAAUGUGCUAAAAUAGCAAACCCCAUGCCUCUUUUUGGAAACGGUGAUAUUUUGUCUUAUGAAGAUGCUAAUCAAGCCAUGCAGACCGGAGUUUCAGGCAUUAUGAUUGCAAGGGGGGCACUCAUCAAACCGUGGCUUUUCACUGAAAUCAAGGAGCAGAGACACUGGGAUAUCUCCUCCAGUGAGAGAUUCGAUAUCCUCAGAGACUUCACCAACUACGGCCUGGAACACUGGGGGUCGGAUACUCAGGGAGUGGAGAAAACCAGGAAGUUUCUGCUGGAAUGGCUCUCAUUCCUGUGCAGCGUUUGUGUUUCGCUGCAGGUACAUUCCAGUUGGGUUAUUGGAGCACCUACCUCAGAAGAUCAAUGAGCGGCCGCCUUACUACAUAGGGAGGGACUAUCUGGAGACACUGAUGGCCAGCCAAAAUGUGGAUGAUUGGGUUAAAAUCAGUGAGCUGCUCCUGGGACCUGUACCCACCAACUUCACCUUCCUGCCUAAGCACAAGGCAAAUUCCUACAGAUAGGAGCAUGGAGCGCAGGGGAGGCAGCAGGACGGCACACGUUGCUCAGCUGCACACAGAAAUGAAAUAAACCUUUAUGUUUUUAGAA